UACGUAGGGGCCUAGCGUUGUCCGGAUUUAUUGGGCGUAAAGAGCUCGUAGGCGGUUUGGUGAGUCGGGUGUGAAAUCUCCACGCUCAACGUGGAGGGGCCACCCGAUACUGCCAUGACUAGAGUCCGGUAGGGGAGUGUGGAAUUCCCGGUGUAGCGGUGAAAUGCGCAGAUAUCGGGAAGAACACCCGUGGCUAAGGCGGCUCUCUAGUACGGUACUGACGCUGAGACGCGAAAGCGUGGGGGAGCGAAACAGG
rnacentral:rRNA from 1 species